rnacentral:rRNA from 1 species
GUAGGUGGCAAGCGUUGUCCGGAAUUAUUGGGCGUAAAGCGCGCGCAGGCGGUUCUUUAAGUCUGAUGUGAAAGCCCACGGCUCAACCGUGGAGGGUCAUUGGAAACUGGAGAACUUGAGUACAGAAGAGGAAAGCGGAAUUCCACGUGUAGCGGUGAAAUGCGUAGAGAUGUGGGGGAACACCAGUGGCGAAGGCGGCUCUCUGGUCUGUAACUGACGCUGAGGCGCGAAAGCGUGGGGAGCAAACAGGGAUUAGAUACCCUGGUAGUCCACGCCGUAAACGAUGAGUGCUAAGUGUUAGGGGGUUUCCGCCCCCUUAGUGCUGCAGCUAACGCAUUAAGCACUCCGCCUGGGGAUACGGCCGCAAGGCUG